rnacentral:rRNA from 1 species
AGUGGGGAAUUUUGGACAAUGGGCGAAAGCCUGAUCCAGCCAUGCCGCGUGCGGGAAGAAGGCCUUCGGGUUGUAAACCGCUUUUGUCAGGGAAGAAACGCUCUGGGCUAAUAACCCGGGGUAAUGACGGUACCUGAAGAAUAAGCACCGGCUAACUACGUGCCAGCAGCCGCGGUAAUACGUAGGGUGCAAGCGUUAAUCGGAAUUACUGGGCGUAAAGCGUGCGCAGGCGGUUAUGUAAGACAGAGGUGAAAUCCCCGGGCUCAACCUGGGAACUGCCUUUGUGACUGCAUAGCUAGAGUUUGUCAGAGGGGGGUGGAAUUCCACGUGUAGCAGUGAAAUGCGUAGAUAUGUGGAAGAACACCGAUGGCGAAGGCAGCCCCCUGGGAUAAGACUGACGCUCAUGCACGAAAGCGUGGGGAGCAAA